AGCGGCGGACGGGUGAGUAACGCGUGGGUAACCUGCCCUGUACACACGGAUAACAUACCGAAAGGUAUGCUAAUACGAGAUAAUAUACUUUUAUCGCAUGGUAGGAGUAUCAAAGCUUUUGCGGUACAGGAUGGACCCGCGUCUGAUUAGCUAGUUGGUAAGGUAACGGCUUACCAAGGCGACGAUCAGUAGCCGACCUGAGAGGGUGAUCGGCCACAUUGGAACUGAGACACGGUCCAAACUCCUACGGGAGGCAGCAGUGGGGAAUAUUGCACAAUGGGCGAAAGCCUGAUGCAGCAACGCCGCGUGAGCGAUGAAGGCCUUCGGGUCGUAAAGCUCUGUCCUCAAGGAAGAUAAUGACGGUACUUGAGGAGGAAGCCCCGGCUAACUACGUGCCAGCAGCCGCGGUAAUACGUAGGGGGCUAGCGUUAUCCGGAAUUACUGGGCGUAAAGGGUGCGUAGGUGGUUUCUUAAGUCAGAGGUGAAAGGCUACGGCUCAACCGUAGUAAGCCUUUGAAACUGGGAAACUUGAGUGCAGGAGAGGAGAGUGGAAUUCCUAGUGUAGCGGUGAAAUGCGUAGAUAUUAGGAGGAACACCAGUUGCGAAGGCGGCUCUCUGGACUGUAACUGACACUGAGGCACGAAAGCGUGGGGAGCAAACAGGAUUAGAUACCCUGGUAGUCCACUCCGUAAACGAUGAGUACUAGCUGU
rnacentral:rRNA from 1 species